rnacentral:rRNA from 1 species
AGAGUUUGAUCAUGGCUCAGGACGAACGCUGGCGGCGUGCCUAAUACAUGCAAGUCGAGCGGACAGAUGGGAGCUUGCUCCCUGAUGUUAGCGGCGGACGGGUGAGUAACACGUGGGUAACCUGCCUGUAAGACUGGGAUAACUCCGGGAAACCGGGGCUAAUACCGGAUGGUUGUUUGAACCGCAUGGUUCAAACAUAAAAGGUGGCUUCGGCUACCACUUACAGAUGGACCCGCGGCGCAUUAGCUAGUUGGUGAGGUAACGGCUCACCAAGGCAACGAUGCGUAGCCGACCUGAGAGGGUGAUCGGCCACACUGGGACUGAGACACGGCCCAGACUCCUACGGGAGGCAGCAGUAGGGAAUCUUCCGCAAUGGACGAAAGUCUGACGGAGCAACGCCGCGUGAGUGAUGAGGGUUUUCGGAUCGUAAAGCUCUGUUGUUAGGGAAGAACAAGUACCGUUCGAAUAGGGCGGUACCUUGACGGUACCUAACCAGAAAGCCACGGCUAACUACGUGCCAGCAGCCGCGGUAAUACGUAGGUGGCAAGCGUUGUCCGGAAUUAUUGGGCGUAAAGGGCUCGCAGGCGGUUUCUUAAGUCUGAUGUGAAAGCCCCCGGCUCAACCGGGGAGGGUCAUUGGAAACUGGGGAACUUGAGUGCAGAAGAGGAGAGUGGAAUUCCACGUGUAGCGGUGAAAUGCGUAGAGAUGUGGAGGAACACCAGUGGCGAAGGCGACUCUCUGGUCUGUAACUGACGCUGAGGAGCGAAAGCGUGGGGAGCGAACAGGAUUAGAUACCCUGGUAGUCCACGCCGUAAACGAUGAGUGCUAAGUGCUAGGGGUUUCCGC